ACGUAGGGUGCGAGCGUUAAUCGGAAUUACUGGGCGUAAAGCGUGCGCAGGCGGUUUGGUAAGACAGGCGUGAAAUCCCCGGGCUUAACCUGGGAAUGGCGAUGGAGACUGCGAGGCUUGAGUUUGGCAGAGGGGGGUAGAAUUCCACGUGUAGCAGUGAAAUGCGUAGAGAUGUGGAGGAACACCGAUGGCGAAGGCAGGUCUCUGGGCAUUAACUGACGCUGAGGAGCGAAAGCAUGGGGAGCGAACAGGA
rnacentral:rRNA from 1 species